rnacentral:rRNA from 1 species
CCUACGGGUGGCAGCAGUGGGGAAUAUUGCACAAUGGGGGAAACCCUGAUGCAGCAACGCCGCGUGAGUGAAGAAGUAUUUCGGUAUGUAAAGCUCUAUCAGCAGGGACGAGACGAGGCGGUACCUGACUAAGUAGCCCCCGCUAACUACGGUCCAGCAGCCGCGGUAAUACGUAGGGGGCAAGCGUUAUCCGGAUUUACUGGGGGGAAAGGGAGGGCAGACGGCUGUGCAAGUCUGGAGUGAAAGGCGGGGGCCCAACCCCCGGACUGCUCUUGAAACUGUAAAGCUUGAGUUCAGGAGAGGUCAGCGGAAUUCCUAGUGUAGCGGUGAAAUGCGUAGAUAUUAGGAGGAACACCAGUGGCGAAGGCGGCUUACUGGACUGCAACUGACGUUGAGGCGCGAAAGCGUGGGGAGCAAACAGGAUUAGAUACCCUAGUAGUC